GGGGCUGCAUUGGUUUCGACGUGGGUUCGGACGCGGUGUGGUGCAUGUCGAGCUGAGUGUGCUCGUAAAACUGAUUCAAACAAACUAACUGCAAACGACGAACGUUUCGCACUCGCUGCUUAAUUGCUAAGCGAGCUUUACAACAGCAGGCCGAUGGGCUGGGCAAGGGGUCUUUAGCGCAAGUUAAGGGCUCCCGGCUGUAAAGAUAAUUUCAUCGUCUGGCUCCGGGCUGGGUACCUUAACCCGGGGCAAGACAAUAGGGUGCUGGCGUCCUGUGUAGCGUGCGACUGCGCGACAC
rnacentral:tmRNA from 1 species